UGAGGGAUGACGGCCUUCGGGUUGUAAACCUCUUUCAGCAGGGAAGAAGCGAAAGUGACGGUACCUGCAGAAGAAGCGCCGGCUAACUACGUGCCAGCAGCCGCGGUAAUACGUAGGGCGCGAGCGUUGUCCGGAAUUAUUGGGCGUAAAGAGCUCGUAGGCGGCUUGUCGCGUCGGUUGUGAAAGCCCGGGGCUUAACCCCGGGUCUGCAGUCGAUACGGGCAGGCUAGAGUUCGGUAGGGGAGAUCGGAAUUCCUGGUGUAGCGGUGAAAUGCGCAGAUAUCAGGAGGAACACCGGUGGCGAAGGCGGAUCUCUGGGCCGAUACUGACGCUGAGGAGCGAAAGCGUGGGGAGCGAACAGGAUUAGAUACCCUGGUAGUCCACGCCGUAAACGG
rnacentral:rRNA from 1 species